rnacentral:rRNA from 1 species
GAUGAACGCUGGCGGCGUGCCUAAUACAUGCAAGUCGAGCGAAGCGCCUGCUUCUGAACUUUCGGGUGAAGAAACAGGCGACUGAGCGGCGGACGGGUGAGUAACACGUAGGUAACCUGCCUCACACAGGGGGAUAACAGUUAGAAAUGACUGCUAAUACCGCAUAAGCGCACAGGACCGCAUGGUCUGGAGUGAAAAGCUAAGGCGGUGUGAGAUGGACCUGCGCCUGAAUAGCCAGUUGGCGGGGUAAAGGCCCAACAAGGGAAGAUCAGGAGCCGGCCUGAGAGGGUGGACGGCAACAUAGGGACUGAGACACGGCCCAGACUCCUACGGGAGGCAGCAGUAGGGAAUAUUGCACAAUGGGGGAAACACUGAUGCAGCGACGCCGCGUGAGCGAAGAAGUAUCUCGGUAUGUAAAGCUCUAUCAGCAGGGAAGAAGAUGACGGUACCUGACUAAGAAGCACCGGCUAAAUACGUGCCAGCCGCCGCCGUAAUAC